UUCUGGACGAGCAGUGUUCCAUGUGCAAGAAGAAGGGGACGGCGGUUAUAAAUCGGUCUUUGGCCCGGGACGUCCCUACGUUAUGCAUGUCACUGACAACUAUGAACGAGAGAUUAUCACCCUGAGACAAACACUCAUCAGCAAUCUUGAAAUCCUCUCUCCCCCUGGCAUUCCUAUAGGAUAUAUUUCAUCCAGCCCCACCUUUCACCCCCGAAUAACCAUCUAUAAUGAGACAAGGCAACCAGUUUUGAAGAUAAUAGGCCCACCAUGGCUACCUUUUCGAUUUUGUGGAAAAAUUGAUUUCCAGAUCACACUUCCAACAGAUCACAGAACAAUUGACGGAAAUGCCAUCGGGAACAUCUCUAGAAUGGCAUACGGCAAAUAUGAUGUGCAGUUUCCAGCAGAACUAGGCCAAAAUGUCACCAUUAAGGCUGCCAUACUGGGAGCAUGUGUUCUAAUUGAUAUCGGAUGCUUUCACAAUUAGCAAUCAUUGGUCAAGAGAAUCAAGAAUCAAGAGUAUUUGACUGGCAUUCUUUUUCAUCCUGAUCCUUCCUAUUUUGAAGUACAUGUCAUUUUUUUAUCUUUUGUUUUUUCCUACAGAUUUUAUUAUUCAACUUUAGUCUGGGAAACUGUUGUGAAUGUAUGAGUGA